CAGCAGCCACGGGAAUACAGAGGGUGCAAGCGUUAAUCGGAAUUACUGGGCGUAAAGCGCGCGUAGGUGGUUCGCCAAGUUGGAUGUGAAAUCCCCGGGCCCAACCUGGGAACUGCAUCCAAAACUGGCGAGCUAGAGUAUGGUAGAGGGUGGUGGAAUUUCCUGUGUAGCGGUGAAAUGCGUAGAUAUAGGAAGGAACAUCAGUGGCGAAGGCGACCACCUGGACUGAUACUGACACUGAGGUGCGAAAGCGUGGGGAGCAAACAGGAUUAGGUACCCCAGUAGUCCCUGUCUCUUAUAA
rnacentral:rRNA from 1 species